UCCUGUGGGCCCCGUGACCCCCAGCCACAGGUGGACAUUCAGAUGUUACAGCUGUUACAGGCAAAUCCCCUGGGUGUGGUCACAGCCCAGUGAACCCUUGCAGCUCCUGGUCUCAGGAACAGCCAACACCAUCAGCCCAUCACACAACAGCUCAGACAACACGAGUGACUCCCACCCCCAGGACUACACAGUGGGGAAU